UGUAGAGUUUGAUCCUGGCUCAGAUUGAACGCUGGCGGCAUGCCUUACACAUGCAAGUCGAACGGUAACAGGUUAAGCUGACGAGUGGCGAACGGGUGAGUAAUGUAUCGGAACGUGCCCAGUCGUGGGGGAUAACUGCUCGAAAGAGCAGCUAAUACCGCAUACGACCUGAGGGUGAAAGCGGGGGAUCGCAAGACCUCGCGCGAUUGGAGCGGCCGAUAUCAGAUUAGGUAGUUGGUGAGGUAAAGGCUCACCAAGCCGACGAUCUGUAGCUGGUCUGAGAGGACGACCAGCCACACUGGGACUGAGACACGGCCCAGACUCCUACGGGAGGCAGCAGUGGGGAAUUUUGGACAAUGGGCGCAAGCCUGAUCCAGCCAUGCCGCGUGCGGGAAGAAGGCCUUCGGGUUGUAAACCGCUUUUGUCAGGGAAGAAAAGGUUCUGGCUAAUACCUGGGACUCAUGACGGUACCUGAAGAAUAAGCACCGGCUAACUACGUGCCAGCAGCCGCGGUAAUACGUAGGGUGCAAGCGUUAAUCGGAAUUACUGGGCGUAAAGCGCGCGUAGGUGGUUCGUUAAGUUGGAUGUGAAAGCCCCGGGCUCAACCUGGGAACUGCAUCCAAAACUGGCGAGCUAGAGUAUGGCAGAGGGUGGUGGAAUUUCCUGUGUAGCGGUG
rnacentral:rRNA from 1 species